AAUAACGUUUGGUAGGCUGAAACCAAAACAAAAGCUUGCUCUGUAGUAGUCUUCGUCUUCUUCAGUGAUGAAGACUUCUGGUAUCUAGGGUUCUUAGUUUCGAUCGAACUCCAAUUAGGUCAAUUGACAACGGAGGUUGUAGAGUGAUGUGUGAGACGCAUCUCCGGGAGGAAUCUCUGGGUGGAGCUCCGAUCGUGUUGUUCCGUCUGAAAUUCAUCUCCUUGAACCGUUAAGGAAAUAAUUGAUUCAACGCCAUUGAUGACCCAAUGAUGUUUAGAGUCCCUAUUAAAUCUCUCCACCACUACACCUUCCCACCUAGGAUUGCAAAACCCCAAAUUUUAACAAGCAACUUAUCAGGUUAGUGUUUUCAAUGGGCUAAGUGAUCAUCCAACCUACCGGCUCUAUACGCUUAUUAAUUUUUUAUGUCUCCAUGGCAAACCGAUCAUCGCAACCUACCGGAAAGUUUCCUUCAGCACUAUUUUCCGAUGAAAAUCAACCAACCUAGGAGAGACGAAACACAAGAGCUCUUUGUUGUUGCUUUGGGACCUCUGGCAAACAUCUCACUGACUGUUCAGCUUGAACCUGAGUUUUCAAAAAAAUGUCAGACAGAUUGUUCUUCUUGGUGGACCAUUCACAGUAAACGGAAAGGUAAAUCCAGCAUCGAAAGCUAAUAGCUCUUACAAGCAAACUUCUUUUCCCCGGGUGAACAUGUGGUCCAGCAAUUGGAUUUGAUGACUGAUAUGUUGGAAACUCAAAUCUGCGGAAGCCAUUGGAAGGUCCACGUCCCUUUCCAGUUUCCACAGCUGCAUUGUUACUAUUUUUGGGUGAAAUGCGUGCACUGAAUGUGACAUGUUAGGAACAGGAAAGCUCGAAGAAGAAAAAGCCUAUUCAUUUCUCACAUAACUUUCCACAUGCUGAUCCCCUUGCUCUUCAUCUUUUAGAGAAUUUGUUUUCUUUAAAACCCAAGGACCUACCUACAGCUGAAAAGGAGCAUCACACAUUUCUUUUUUACAUUCGUUGUGAUCCAAGUGGGUUGUAUUCAAAAGCUAUAUUUACGUGAAAAUCCAGAAAGACUGCAAACUCUAUACAUGAUGCUUACUAAGAUUACUAACGGUCUUUCAUGUAAUCAACCGGUUUUAUGGAUUACUGAAGGCGAUCACAAAGUUGGGUAGAGAAGCGAUUAGACAUAUAUUUGGCGAGGAAAUUGGAGGCUUACACAGGCCAUUAGAGCUUCUUCUCAUAUCAUAGUAUCUCAGCUACAUUUGAUUACUAGCCAGAAAUUUGUGAGGAUUACAAAGAAAACGGAAAGUAUGGAUAUGGAGAUAGAUGUAAAUAUGAAUAUUUUUAAUAUUAUAUAUAAAUAAUUAAUUUGAA